rnacentral:rRNA from 1 species
GGGAGGCAGCAGUGGGGAAUAUUGGACAAUGGGCGCAAGCCUGAUCCAGCCAUGCCGCGUGCAGGAAGACGGUCCUAUGGAUUGUAAACUGCUUUUAUACAGGAAGAAACACCGCUACGUGUAGCGGCUUGACGGUACUGUAAGAAUAAGGAUCGGCUAACUCCGUGCCAGCAGCCGCGGUAAUACGGAGGAUCCAAGCGUUAUCCGGAAUCAUUGGGUUUAAAGGGUCCGUAGGCGGCCUUAUAAGUCAGUGGUGAAAUCUCCUAGCUCAACUAGGAAACUGCCAUUGAUACUGUAGGGCUUGAAUUAUUAGGAAGUAACUAGAAUAUGUAGUGUAGCGGUGAAAUGCUUAGAUAUUACAUGGAAUACCAAUUGCGAAGGCAGGUUACUACUAAUACAUUGACGCUGAUGGACGAAAGCGUGGGUAGCGAACAGGAUUAGAUACCCUGGUAGUCCACGCCGUAAACGAUGGAUACUAGCUGUUCGGAGCAAUCUGAGUGGCUAAGCGAAAGUGAUAAGUAUCCCACCUGGGGAGUACGAACGCAAGUUUGAAACUCAAAGGAAUUGACGGGGACCCGCACAAAAGGG